rnacentral:rRNA from 1 species
UACGAAGGGGGCUAGCGUUGCUCGGAAUUACUGGGCGUAAAGGGCGCGUAGGCGGUUCAUCCAGUCAGAUGUGAAAUUCCUGGGCUCAACCUGGGGGCUGCAUUUGAUACGUGUGGACUAGAGUGGGGAAGAGGGUCGUGGAAUUCCCAGUGUAGAGGUGAAAUUCGUAGAUAUCGGGAGGAACACCAGUGGCGAAGGCGGCGAUCUGGGAAGAUACUGACACUCAACUGCGAAAGCGUGGGGAGCAAACAGG